CGGGCAGUAGCUCAGUGGUAGACCUCCCUCUUCUUAUGGUGGAAAACCCGGGUUCGAUUCCCGGCUGCUUAC
rnacentral:tRNA from 1 species